CCUACGGGUGGCUGCAGUGGGGAAUUUUUCGCAAUGGGCGCAAGCCUGACGAAGCAACGCCGCGUGGAGGAUGAAGGUCUUCGGAUUGUAAACUCCUGUCGACCGGGACGAAUGCACUCGACCUAAUACGUCGGAAUGUUGACGGUACCGGUGGAGGAAGCCACGGCUAACUCUGUGCCAGCAGCCGCGGUAAUACAGAGGUGGCAAGCGUUGUUCGGAAUUACUGGGCGUAAAGGGCGCGUUGGCGGCCGAAAGCGCUCGGCUUAACUGAGGAUCUGCACGGGAUACUGCGAGGCUUGAGUUCGGGAGAGGAAAGCGGAAUUCCGGGUGUAGCGGUGAAAUGCGUAGAUAUCCGGAGGAACACCAGUGGCGAAGGCGGCUUUCUGGACCGACACUGACGCUGAGGCGCGAAAGCUAGGGGAGCAAACGGGAUUAGAUACCCCAGUAGUC
rnacentral:rRNA from 1 species